rnacentral:rRNA from 1 species
AGAGUUUGAUCCUGGCUCAGGACGAACGCUGGCGGCGUGCUUAACACAUGCAAGUCGAACGGAAAGGCCUGCCACCUUGGUGGUGGGUACUCGAGUGGCGAACGGGUGAGUAACACGUGGGUGAUCUGCCCCGCACUGUGGGAUAAGCCUGGGAAACUGGGUCUAAUACCACAUACGACCACACUGUAGAGAGUGUGGUGGAAAGCUUUUGCGGUGUGGGAUGAGCCCGCGGCCUAUCAGCUUGUUGGUGGGGUAAUGGCCUACCAAGGCGGCGACGGGUAGCCGGCCUGAGAGGGUGGACGGCCACAUUGGGACUGAGACACGGCCCAGACUCCUACGGGAGGCAGCAGUGGGGAAUAUUGCACAAUGGGCGCAAGCCUGAUGCAGCGACGCCGCGUGGGGGAUGACGGCCUUCGGGUUGUAAACUCCUUUCGCCCGGGACGAAGCCCACCUGGUGGGUGACGGUACCGUGGAGAAGAAGCACCGGCUAACUACGUGCCAGCAGCCGCGGUAAUACGUAGGGUGCAAGCGUUGUCCGGAUUUACUGGGCGUAAAGAGCUCGUAGGUGGUGUGUCGCGUCGUCUGUGAAAUUCCGGGGCUUAACUCCGGGCGUGCAGGCGAUACGGGCACGACUAGAGUGCUGUAGGGGUAACUGGAAUUCCUGGUGUAGCGGUGAAAUGCGCAGAUAUCAGGAGGAACACCGAUGGCGAAGGCAGGUUACUGGGCAGUUACUGACGCUGAGGAGCGAAAGCAUGGGGAGCGAACAGGAUUAGAUACCCUGGUAGUCCAUGCUGUAAACGGUGGGCGCUAGGUGUGGGCUGUGUGUUUGCAGUCUGUGCCGUAGCUAACGCAUUAAGCGCCCCGCCUGGGGAGUACGGCCGCAAGGCUAAAACUCAAAGGAAUUGACGGGGGC